GAAAAAUAAAAUAAUUAUAUUACUCUUAGGAUAAUGUAUCUCUAUUUAUUUAUGGAAGAUACAUAAAAUGUUUUCUUUCUACAUAGUUUUAGAUAUUUAGAUGUCGCUGUGAUUGUUAAAAUGGCGACUAAUGGUUCAAUGCGAUAGUAUGAUAUAAAUGAAAUGAUAGAAUGUGAUGGAUGCUAAUAUCUUAAAUCAAUACAGAUUUAAAUAUUUGUGUUCUUUGUAAUUCAUUACAAUGAAUUGAUAUCAGCAAUGGGAGAUCUGUUUGAUAUUGCAAAUUUAAUUACAACUGUCGGUGUUGAUAGAAUAAAAAUUAAGCCGGAGCCCGGACUGCCAGAAAAAUCUUCAAAUGAAAUUCUAACAGAGUUGUUUAGCACAUUUGAUGCUGAAGAAGAAAUAGUAUCAUCAGAAAAUACUGAUCAGCAAGUUCCAAAUGCAAGUGUUAAAAUUGAGAAACCUAUUAAAUUUCAGGUCAAGAAAAAAAAAACUAAGAGGAAACAUAAGCACAAAGAUAAAAAACAUAAAAAAAAGUCAAAGCGUAAUUCUUCUGAGAGUAACAGUGAUCUUGAAAAUAUUAAAAAGAAAAGAAAGCAUAGAAAGAAAACAAAACGGAGACAUGAAGAUGAUUCAAGUAAGUCGUCAGAUUCAGAUGAACCCAAAAGUAAAAUAUCAAAACUUGAUAUAUGCAACGAUAUGAAAAAGAAAGGUUAUAAUAAAGAUAAUGGACUAGGAAAAGAAGAUGUAGAUGGAUCAGAAAGUUUGGAGAAAUUAAUAAUUAAAAAAAAUCCAAAAUUAGAAAAUGUGUUUACAAAGGAACCCGAUAGUCCUCAAUUGCCACCUAUUUCAAAAAAAAUUGAAGAUGAUCCUGAAGAACAAUUAAUAUCUAAAGUUCUUGAAAAACCAAAGCAAGGGCAUCAAGGGAAAAUAUUGAUAAAAGAUCUUAAAAAUAGUAUAGUUUACAAUGAUACAGUUAGAGAAAUAGAAAAUAAGGAAAAGGAAAAGGCAGCUCGAAUGGAAGAUGGUGAAUUAUCUGAUAGUAGUACAGAUAAUAGAACUCCAACAUUAAGUCCCAGUCCAAUUCGUUGUACUUCAUUUAGAUCAUCAACUUUGAGUCCAACUUUAGAAAAGGUAGAAAACAGAGUCCCAUUGAGUCCUGUAAAAGGAGAAGUAACAGCAAGAAAUGAUUUAAGAUUAAUUUUGAGGGAGAAAGAAAAGAAAAGAUUAGGAGAUGUGGAUAAAAGAUCAGAAGGAAUAGAAAAAUCAAAAUUGUAUAUGGAUAAUGAAUACAAAGAAAAAGCGUAUAAUUAUAACAGCAAAAUUACAAUAAACAAAGAUAGCAAGCACGCUCAUAAUUGCCAUUCUCAAGAGAGAAGAAGAUCUGAAUCUCGUACACGUGUGAGUUUACGUAGAAGUAAAAGCAGAGAAAGGGAUAAACGAAGAGAUAAAAGUAGAGAUAGAUACAACAAAAGUCGAAAUAGUGAUCAACGAGAAUUUUUGAAAUGUAGAGAGCGACGAAGACAUAGAAGCCGCAGUGAUGAUAGAAGCAGAGAUAAAUAUGUACGAGGACGAAGUAGAAGUAGAGAACGAAAGGAACGGAUUGAAAUUGAUAAAAAGAAAUUGUUAGAAAUAGCAAGAAGAAAUGCAAUAAACAUGAUUAAACAAGGUACAUUACCAUUGGUACAACAAGAUAAAGCUAUUGCUGCAAUACAAGCUGGAGGGAAAACGGUGGAUGAACUCACAGAUUUCUGCAAAUCAUUAUCAAAAUCUGAGGCAUUAGGAGAACUUUCAAGUAUCUCUUCAGAAGAAGAUGGAAGUGAAUCUGAAAAAGGUUUUCAUCAUCCUUUUUUACUAAAGGGUCGACCUAGUUCUAUUAUCAUGAAUAUUAAGGAUGCAAAGCAAUUACCAACCAAAACAUUCCAAGAAAAAACAAUAGAAUCAUCAAAUCAAUUACGUUUACAAUUUCCUGUAUCAAGUGGACAACAUCAUAGAAAAAGUGAAAAUGAAUGGAUACCAGUCACCCCAAAGAAGCCAGAAACGAAAAAACAAUUUAUGCCAGCUACUGUCCCAACUGAAUCUUUUCCUAUAACACCUUCAACUACAUCUAUAUAUCCAGUGCAAUCGGCAGUUUUUUCUCACUCGAUAGCAGCAGAGCCAAUAGAUAUUGGUUCAAUAGUAUCUCAAAGAUUAGCAGCAAUGAGAAAAUUAAGAGAAAAUCCAAAUGAUGUAUGUGCUCAAAAUGAAAUGUAUAGAGCACAAAAUGAGAUGAAAACAUGGGCUGAGAGUAAACAAAUGCCAGGUCAAUUUACUGGGAGUACAGGAGCCAAAGUACUUUCACCUGCAGAGCUUACUUCAGGUUAUCAAGCCUGGGCUCGUAAGGUAACACUAUUACUAGAUAAUUUAUCUUGUUAUUUGUUGUUCUAUAUAUAUAUAUAUAUCCAUAGUAUAUAUAUAUAUACUAUGGAAAACUAUUUUAAGCAAUUCUGGUAGGAAUAAUCUAACUAAAUACAUAUUUGUAACCUAAUUUAUAAUUUAUAGUACUAAUAAGAUGAUAAAUAUGAACAUUAAGACAUAUAUUGACACUGUUGUGUUAUAUAUAUGUACAUAAUACAAUUUCAUUUUUUUUCGUUCCAUAUCUUUUUUUUUCUUUUCUUUCUUUUUUUUUAACAAUGCAUUACCUGAUACUGAUAUUGCCUGUAACAAGUUUUCAGGUACAGUCUCUAUCAAGAUCAAUGCUAUAUUCUGAUAUAUAGCAGAUCUGAUAAGAACUGUAAUGUAGGCACAGACUAUUUCUUACGUAGAAGUAGAUUCUGUGCCUGCAUGGACACAGGAGCGCCAUUAUUUUAUAGAUUUUUGUGUUGUAUGAUUAGACUAUAUAAUUAAUAUAAUUAUACUUUACAUUUAGUAUUUAAGAAAAUAAAUUGUAGGUGUACUUAAAACAAAGAUAAGUGUAUAGAAAUAUUGAUUACAUGAAAUUCUUUUAUAUAAUGGGCUCUUGUUAGAUUAUUGCUAAUUAUCAUCAGCUUCCUAUCACAGGAUUUCAUCUGGAGUUACUGUAUCUUUUGUUUAUAAAGCUGGGAUAUUUAGCAUUAGUCUGCAUCCACCUGAGGGUUUGUUACAGGCACAUAGCUACAUCAGAGAAGAAACAACUUCAGCGGCGUGAUGACAAAUUUUGAUUUUUUUGGACCAAUUAGUAUCAGCACAGCCUGUUUCGGGUGGGAUGGGUAUGGCUUUACUACAGAAGAUGGGUUGGCGACCAGGGGAGGGUUUGGGAAAAAAUAAAGAAGGUACUCUUGAGCCCUUGCAG